UACAGAGGUCCCGAGCGUUGUUCGGAUUCACUGGGCGUAAAGGGUGCGCAGGUGGGUUGGCAAGUUUGAUGUGAAAGCCCCGGGCUUAACCCGGGAAUGGCAUUGGAUACUGCUGAUCUGGAGGAUCGGAGGGGGGACUGGAAUUCUUGGUGUAGCAGUGAAAUGCGUAGAUAUCAAGAGGAACACCAGUGGCGAAGGCGAGUCCCUGGACGAUACCUGACACUGAGGCACGAAAGCCAAGGGAGCAAAC
rnacentral:rRNA from 1 species